rnacentral:rRNA from 1 species
CCUACGGGUGGCAGCAGUGAGGAAUAUUGGUCAAUGGACGAGAGUCUGAACCAGCCAAGUAGCGUGAAGGAUGACUGCCCUAUGGGUUGUAAACUUCUUUUAUAAAGGAAUAAAACGAGGCACGUGUGCCUUUUUGCAUGUACUUUAUGAGUAAGGAUCGGCUAACUCCGUGCCAGCCGCCGAGGUAAUACGGAGGAUCCGAGCGUUAUCCGGAUUUAUUGGGUUUAAAGGGAGAGUAGAUGGGUUGUUAAGUCAGUUGUGAAAGUUUGCGGCUCAACCGUAAAAUUGCAAUUGAUACUGGCAGUCUUGAGUACAGUUGAGGUAGGCGGAAUUCGUGGUGUAGCGGUGAAAUGCUUAGAUAUCACGAAGAACCCCGAUUGCGAAGGCAGCUCACUAAACUGUGACUGACAUUGAUGCUCGAAAGUGUGGGUAUCAAACAGGAUUAGAUACCCGGGUAGUC